rnacentral:rRNA from 1 species
UAGGGAAUCUUCGGCAAUGGACGAAAGUCUGACCGAGCAACGCCGCGUGAGUGAAGAAGGUUUUCGGAUCGUAAAACUCUGUUGUUAGAGAAGAACAAGGACGUUAGUAACUGAACGUCCCCUGACGGUAUCUAACCAGAAAGCCACGGCUAACUACGUGCCAGCAGCCGCGGUAAUACGUAGGUGGCAAGCGUUGUCCGGAGUUAUUGGGCGUAAAGCGAGCGCAGGCGGUUUCUUAAGUUUGAUGUGAAAGCCCCCGGCUCAACCGGGGAGGGUCAUUGGAAACAGGGAGACUUGAGUGCAGAAGAGGAGAGUGGAAUUCCAUGUGUAGCGGUGAAAUGCGUAGAUAUAUGGAGGAACACCAGUGGCGAAGGCGGCUCUCUGGUCUGUAACUGACGCUGAGGCUCGAAAGCGUGGGGAGCAAACAGG